rnacentral:snoRNA from 1 species
AAAAUAAAUGUGUCUAUCAAAAUAGUCUGGCACAAUUUCAGCUUGCUACAGCAAGAAAAUCUAACCUAUUCUGGCACUCUCCUCUCUGUGAGACAGGCUGUUACCUAGACUUACAUAGU